GCACUGCUGAGGAGUCCCACCAUAGGAUGAAGCGGCCGUCUAGUGC
rnacentral:hammerhead_ribozyme from 1 species